CCUACGGGUGGCAGCAGUAGGGAAUAUUGCUCAAUGGGGGAAACCCUGAAGCAGCAACGCCGCGUGGAGGAGGAAGGUUUUCGGAUUGUAAACUCCUUUUGUUAGAGAAGAUAAUGACGUUAUCUAACGAAUAAGCACCGGCUAACUCCGUGCCAGCAGCCGCGGUAAUACGGAGGGUGCAAGCGUUACUCGGAAUCACUGGGCGUAAAGAGCGCGUAGGCGGGAUAGCAAGUCAGAUGUGAAAUCCUAGGGCUUAACCCUAGAACUGCAUUUGAAACUGUUAUUCUAGAGUAUGGGAGAGGUAGGUGGAAUUCUUGGUGUAGGGGUAAAAUCCGUAGAGAUCAAGAGGAAUACUCAUUGCGAAGGCGACCUGCUAGAACAUAACUGACGCUGAUGCGCGAAAGCGUGGGGAGCAAACAGGAUUAGAUACCCGGGUAGUC
rnacentral:rRNA from 1 species